rnacentral:rRNA from 1 species
CCUACGGGAGGCAGCAGUGGGGAAUAUUGGACAAUGGGGGCAACCCUGAUCCAGCCAUGCCGCGUGUGUGAAGAAGGCCCUCGGGUUGUAAAGCACUUUCAGUGAGGAAGAACGCCUGGUGGUUAAUACCCUUCAGGAAAGACAUCACUCACAGAAGAAGCACCGGCUAACUCCGUGCCAGCAGCCGCGGUAAUACGGAGGGUGCGAGCGUUAAUCGGAAUUACUGGGCGUAAAGCGCGCGUAGGUGGCUUGAUAAGCCGGUUGUGAAAGCCCCGGGCUCAACCUGGGAACGGCAUCCGGAACUGUCAAGCUAGAGUGCAGGAGAGGAAGGUAGAAUUCCCGGUGUAGCGGUGAAAUGCGUAGAGAUCGGGAGGAAUACCAGUGGCGAAGGCGGCCUUCUGGACUGACACUGACACUGAGGUGCGAAAGCGUGGGUAGCAAACAGGAUUAGAUACCCCGGUAGUC